rnacentral:tRNA from 1 species
CGCUAAGAAGCUAUGAAUCAGCACUAGCCUUUUAAGCUAGAAAAAGAGGGGCCUCACCCCUCCUUAGUGA